rnacentral:rRNA from 1 species
UACGUAGGGUGCAAGCGUUAAUCGGAAUUACUGGGCGUAAAGCGUGCGCAGGCGGUUUUGUAAGUCUGACGUGAAAGCCCCGGGCUCAACCUGGGAAUGGCGAUGAAGACUGCAAGGCUUGAAUCUGGCAGAGGGGGGUAGAAUUCCACGUGUAGCAGUGAAAUGCGUAGAGAUGUGGAGGAACACCGAUGGCGAAGGCAGCCCCCUGGGUCAAGAUUGACGCUCAUGCACGAAAGCGUGGGGAGCGAACAGG